rnacentral:rRNA from 1 species
CAGUAGCCGCGGUAUACGUAGGGUGCAAGCGUUAAUCGGAAUUACUGGGCGUAAAGCGUGCGCAGGCGGUCCGUUAAGACAGAUGUGAAAUCCCCGGGCUUAACCUGGGAACUGCAUUUGUGACUGGCGGGCUAGAGUAUGGCAGAGGGGGGUAGAAUUCCACGUGUAGCAGUGAAAUGCGUAGAGAUGUGGAGGAAUACCGAUGGCGAAGGCAGCCCCCUGGGCCAAUACUGACGCUCAUGCACGAAAGCGUGGGGAGCAAACAGGAUUAGAUACCCCUGUAGUCCCUGUCUCUUAUACA